rnacentral:tRNA from 1 species
AGGAGUGUAGCUCAUUUGGUUAGAGCAGUUCGCUCAUAACGAAUUGGUAGAGGGUUCAAAUCCCUCCAUUCCUACCA